UACGUAGGGUGCGAGCGUUAAUCAGAAUUACUGGGCGUAAAGCGUGCGUAGGUGGUUCGUUGUGUCUGUGGUGAAAGCCCCGGGCUUAACCUGGGAAUGGCCAUGGAAACUGGCGAGCUGGAGUCUGGCAGAGGGGGGUGGAAUUCCGCGUGUAGCAGUGAAAUGCGUAGAGAUGCGGAGGAACACCGAUGGCGAAGGCAGCCCCCUGGGCUAAGACUGACGCUGAGGCACGAAAGCGUGGGGAGCAAACAGG
rnacentral:rRNA from 1 species